CCAAAGUGCUAGGAUUACAGGCGUGAGCCACUGUGCCCGGCUGGCUUUCAUAUCUCUUAUUCUUUCUGCUUCCGCUCUCUCCUGUCCCCUAUUAGCCAUGGGUUCCAGAGAGGAGAGAAGGCUCGGGAGAGCAGGGGACUCAGGAGGUCACCCUGCUACCCUCACCUUUUUAAUAACCCUCCUCAAACCCUGGUUCCACGUCUCCCUCACUCAAGGAUUUAUGUCUCAUUUUCAAUGGAAUGUUACAUUUGGUCAGACCACGAAGAAAACUCCUCAUUAUAAACUAGGAAAUGUGUGGAGAGAGAAUUAUUUACCCAAGGCAGUGCUCAAUCAGUGUUGCCCGAAUAUUUAUUUAGCCCACACACGGAGAAGUUGUGUUAAUGUUUGCCAAAGAAUGUAGCUUUAUAAAGUAACUGGGUCAAAAAAGACAGCAUAUCAUUUUACAAAUAACUUUAAAAUUGCUUAAGUUAAAUAGCUGGGCUCUCUCAGGUUUGUCUUUUCAAAAACGCUGCAGAAACAAUAUCCAGAAUUAUGUCUAAUAAAAUACAGGUAUUACAAAGUGGCUGUUUAGCCCAUUAAAGAAAAUGGAGAGUGAAAUCUGAAUUAUUUCUACCCGAGGCAGAAGCAGACAAAGUUACCAAAAUUAUGUUAGGCCGACGUCGCAAUUCUUCAAGUCUGCAGGGCGGCAAGGCUAACAGCUCCUGCACCAAGACUCUAUUAGGAGAGCUGUAUUUUUCAGUCAACAAUGACAGGCAUUCCAUUUCUCAGCCUCAAAUCUAGUGUAGCUAUGGGGAAUUCACCCAAAACAUUUGCUUUUGCUUUAUCAGUGGCAUUUGUCUGCCUCAAAAGCCUUGUGAGGGAGAGGGCUACUACGUGACGCUGCCAGGCAAUGCUGUUGGAGGCAGCUGAUUUGAUGGACAAGAAGGGGAGCAGUGACCACCUGGGUCACUCUGACUCCGCCCUCUCUGAGCCAAGUGAAUCUGAGCAAUGAUGUCAUAAUAAUCAUCAAUAGCAACAGUGGCUGCGCGUGAGGGGCGUGGUGGUUCACGCCUGUAAUCCCAACACUUUGGGAAGCCGAGGUGGGCAGAUCAUUUGAGCUGAGGAGUUCAAGACCAGCCUGGACAACAUGCUGAAACCCCAUCUCUACUAAAACUACAAAGAAUUAGCCAGGCAUGGUAGCACAUGCCUGUAGUCCCAGCCACUCAGGAGCCUAAGGCAGGAGAAUUGCUUGAACUUCCCCAGCUUCAAGAGGAAGAGUCUGCAGUGAGCCGAGAUGGCGCCACUGCACUCCAGCCUGGGUGACAAGAGUAAAACUCCCUCUCAAAACAAACAAACAAACCAAAAAAACAAAUAGCAACAGCAACCACAAUCAUCAUCACCAUCAAGGCUGGAACAAGGAUGAGGCAGGCAGGCUCUGAUAGCAACAGGAGGAAGCAGACCAAGGAGGGAGAGAAAGGAAGGCAGAGAAGGGGAAAAAAAAACACAAAUGAUAAUAAUAGAUGCUGACAUUUACGGAGCACUUACUAUGUGCUGGGAACCAUGCUGACGGCACACCGAAUCCACUGAACAGGUGGAUCUCUUUGGGUUUUGGAAUAACAAAAAAGGGACUGUACAUGGAUAUUUCCAAGCUGGAACCGAGGCACUUUCUAGACGAAGGCAGCCUUAUCCCCAGGAGAUGAUUGAAAAUGUAAGAACUAUUCUGAGCCUGCAGGCCAUAGCCAAAGAGGUACCGGCUGUAUUUUGUCCAUGGGCAGGAGCUUGUGACUGCUGGUCUAGGUCAUUCCAGGUCAACCAGGGGCCUCUCCCAGAGUGAGAACCACUGGUGAUUCCCCAGAGUGGGACCAAGUGAAAGCACUUGGCUGGAUCAGAGGGAUAGGAGCCUGGCUGCUCCUAAAACAAGACACUACUUGCCUUUGAUGUUCAAGUCAUUUAAGAACGCAAUUGCUUCCUACUCAAUUUUUCAAAACCAAAAUAACAAAUACGAUAUGAGCCAUAACUUAGCAAAAUUACGUGUUUUAAACAGUCUCUUUCAAAAAACAAUAGAUUAAAAAGUGCAAUAUUUUUACCCCCUCUUAAAUUGGAAUCAUGGUAUAGCAGGCAGGAUACAAACUUCUCAUUUCCAUUACACAUUUUCAGUGCCAUCAUUAAUCUGAAUGACAUCAACAAAAUGCCCAAUGCACAUAAAUCAGUCAGACUUUGAAUCAUUCCUGCAGCCUCUGAACAUUUACCAUGGAGCUCAAUAAGCCAGGCAAGAACACAGAUUUUUUUUUUUUUUUUUUU
rnacentral:lncRNA from 1 species